UGUGAUGGUUAAGACACAAUAACCCUGCCUUAAUUAUGUGACAAGUAUCACUUAUGGGGGUAAUUUAGGUCCAAAGUAAUCAUUUGUCAGGCAAUUAGUUGGUAUUAGUUACAUAAUUGGUUUCUUUUUCCCAUAUCAUGAACUGCAUCCAUUAUUUAAUAUUAUUGUUACACUUAUGAGUUGCAUUUGAACCGAAAACUGUGAAGAAAAGGUGUUUGUACAGCACCGAAAACUGAAGAAAAUGUGUCUGCAGAGCAGGUGUUCAGUGAUGGUCUUCCCAAUGACCACUGUUUACAGACACAAUAAUGGCUAGACCGUUUGAGCCGGUGAAGAACGUUAAUGAUAUGAAGGAGCUUUGGAAAGUAGUUGUUCGUAUCCAUCACAAAUGGACGAUUGUUAACAAGAACAAAGAACAUUUUGAGUCGGUUGUCGUUGAUAAAGAUGGUUGUGACAUCCAUGUCAAAGUUCCACAUCCUUUUAAACAAGCUUAUGAUUCACUUUGGUAUAUUUUUGUAUUGAUUUGCAUUUAUUACUAAAAAACUCAUGGAUUGUUCAGGUUCUUACCGAUCUCUUUCUAUUCAAGGGAAACUUGUGAGUUAUCUUAACCAUAAAAUUUUUAAUCUGGUAUAUUUUUGUAUUGAAGAGGAAGAUGUUUUGUUAUCUUAACCAUAAAUUUUUUAGUUAUCAUAAACUGAUCACAACUUUAAU